rnacentral:rRNA from 1 species
CCUACGGGAGGCAGCAGUAGGGAAUUUUCGUCAAUGGGCGCAAGCCUGAACGAGCGAUGCCGCGUGAGUGAAGAAGGCCUUCGGGUCGUAAAGCUCUGUUGCGGGGGAAAAAAUGCAGCAUCAGGAAAUGGGUGCUGACUGAUGGUGCCCCGCCAGAAAGUCACGGCUAACUACGUGCCAGCAGCCGCGGUAAUACGUAGGUGGCGAGCGUUAUCCGGAAUGGUUGGGCGUAAAGGGUGCGCAGGCGGUCCUGCAAGUCUGGAGUGAAACGCAUGAGCUCAACUCAUGCAUGGCUUUGGAAACUGGAGGACUGGAGAGCAGGAGAGGGCGGUGGAACUCCAUGUGUAGCGGUAAAAUGCGUAGAUAUAUGGAAGAACACCAGUGGCGAAGGCGGCCGCCUGGCCUGUUGCUGACGCUGAGGCACGAAAGCGUGGGGAGCAAAUAGGAUUAGAUACCCGGGUAGUC